rnacentral:rRNA from 1 species
AUGAAGGAGAAGGCCGUGGGCAAUUUGGUGGAGAGAAUUGGGGAGAGUAUUAUUUGGGGUCUAGAACAAGAGGUAUCUCUGCAACGUUUCGAUAACUAUAAUGGUGAAUAUGUGAGAAUUGAAGAUGGAGAAUCCAUGGUUGCUGAAAUUGAUCAGCAAGAAGGGUGGGCAAGCAAACAAGAAACAUUUUAUGCAGAGCUAAUUGAUCUGCAAACUCAUUCCAGAGUUGGUUAUGUGCCAUCAAAGAUGGUUGCACAGGUGGAAGAUGAUGAGUGGGUUUCACAAAAGAAGAUGUUGGCAUUGUUGACUGAACCGACUGUAGUAGUUGAAGAUACAGGGAUUGAUGCAGAUGGAGAGGAGGGAACCCAUGGUGCUAGGAAGAUUGUUGUUGAUUGGAAUGUAGUAGAGUUGAAUGAAAAAACAGAUUUGGUCAUUACACCAAUAUCUGACAUUGAUAUGGCCGAAAUGUUUGGCAUUCAAGUUGAUGACAAAGAUAAGGCGAAGAAUAACAGUUCUUUGCCUGCUGAUGGUAACACAGGCCCUAGAAAUGCAAAUGAGGAUGAAGAAGAGCUGAUGAGAGAGGCUUUGUGGAUGAUGUAG